CCGAAAGAUGGCUGAGGUUUAAGCAAAAGAUUGUAGCUCUUUUAACGGAUUUUUCCUCUUUUG
rnacentral:tRNA from 1 species